UACGUAGGGCGCAAGCGUUGUCCGGAAUUAUUGGGCGUAAAGGGUGCGUAGGCGGUCGGGUAAGUCUGAUGUGAAAUCUCACAGCUUAACUGUGAAACUGCAUUGGAUACUAUCCGGCUAGAGGAAUGGAGGGGAGACUGGAAUACUUGGUGUAGCAGUGAAAUGCGUAGAUAUCAAGUGGAACACCAGUGGCGAAGGCGAGUCUCUGGACAUUUCCUGACGCUGAGGCACGAAAGCGUGGGGAGCAAACAGG
rnacentral:rRNA from 1 species